UACGUAGGUGGCAAGCGUUGUCCGGAUUUACUGGGCGUAAAGGGCGCGUAGGCGGCCACUGCAAGUCAGUUGUGAAAUCUCCGGGCUUAACCCGGAAAGGUCAACUGAUACUGCAGGGCUAGAGUGCAGAAGGGGCAACUGGAACUCUCGGUGUAGCGGUGAAAUGCGUAGAUAUCGAGAGGAACACCUGCGGCGAAGGCGGGUUGCUGGGCUGACACUGACGCUGAGGCGCGAAAGCCAGGGGAGCGAACGGG
rnacentral:rRNA from 1 species